UGCGGCAGGUAUCCCCAACCAUUGGUGCUAGAACAACGCGCGGUGCGAACCCUCCGGCGCGGGGGGGGAAAGGGGGAAGGAAAACUCAACCCCCUCCCCCCGCCGCCCUCUCCAACGGGUUCUUUGCAAAUAUCCUUUUAAUUUUAACGGAGGGGGGGGGCAGGUUUCUCAUUUUGCUCCCAGGAGAUCCGUCUCGCGGGCGGCCCUCCCGGCUCGGUGCUCCCGGAGGCUCCCGCAGCCUCCCGGGUCCUGUCCCCCACCCCCCCCGUCCCCGGCCGUACCCCGGCGUCGGGUGCAAAACCCCCCCGAGGUGCUUCAAUCGCUGGGGUUACGCCGGCACGCGCUUUGCGGGCUCUCUACGGUGUGUUUUUAAGUGAAAUCUUCUACUCACACGGUGCUACGGUGCUUUAACGCAGCUGUCUCGCGUUUCGCCUGAUUCCAUCUCGCCGAGGUGCUACUAAUCCACAUAGGAACCCAGGGAACCAAGAGAAAACGGCGUUUGCUUUGCCAUAGCGGCAGCUCUUCCGUCCCGGGCCGAGGGGACGCCGGCGGGGGUGGUGGUAUCCCCCCCCCCCCUUGCGCCGGCUGGUGCAGCCCCGCCGGGACGGGUGCAGGGAGCUCGUCGUUCUUAUGCAAACGGGAAUUGGUGCUGCGCCGAAGCGCUCGGGUCGCCGCCGCCGGCAGCGGCUUUUCCCCGUUUUGUUUGCUGCCGGCAGGGUGUGCGUGCACGGUGUGCGGCACAGUGCGUGUGCACGGUGUGCGACGUGGUGCAUGCACACUGUGCAUGGGCACGAUGUGUGUGCACGGUGUGCGGCAUGGUGCAUGCACACCGUGCAUAGGCAGUGUAUACGGGCACGGUGUGCGACGUGGUGCAUGCACACUGUGCGUAGGCACGGUAUAUGGGCACGGUGUGCAUGCACAGUGUACGAUGUGGUGCAUGCACACCGUGCAUAGGCAGGGUGCACGGGCACGGUGUGCGUGCGCGGUGCACGCACACCGUGCAUAGGCAGGGUGCACAGGCACGGUGUGCGUGCGCGGUGUGCGGCAUGGUGUGUGGCACUUUGUGCCACGCACCGUGCACACACACACAGUGCAUAAGCAUAGUGCACACAGCGUGCCGGCGUGGUGCAAGGGCACCAUGUGCGGACACGGUGUGCAGGCACAGUGCGUGGCACGGUGAAUACACACGGUGCGUGGGCACACCGCGCAGGCACGGUGUGCAGGCGUGGUGCAGAGGCCCGGUGCCUGGCAUGGUGUGCAGGCAUGGUGCAUGGAUGUGGUGCGGUGGCACGGUGUGCGUGCACGGUGCGCAGGCACGGUGCGUGGCAUGGUGCGUGUACACGGUGCAUGGGCACGGUGUGUGUCAUGGUGUGUGUGUGGCCCAGGGCACGGGCAUGCUGCACGGGAGCCGUGCACGGGCACGGCGUGCAGCACGGUGCGCAUGCAUGGUGCGCGGGCACAGAGCGUGGCACAGUGUCCCUGCGCUGUGCACGCGCAUGGCAUGUAGCUCGGUGUGCGUGCACGGUGCGUGUGCACGGUGCAGGGGCACAGCGUGUGACAUGGUGUGCGUGCACGGUGCCCUGUGCACCGUGCACGGGCACGGUGCGUGGCAUGGUGUGUGUGCACGGUGCACAGGCAAGGUAUACUGGCACGGUGUGUGUGCACAGUGUGUGUGCGUGAUGCAUGCGUGCAGUGCUCGUGCACGGUGCCCGGGCACCGUGCAUGCAUAGUGUGCAUGCACAAUGCAUGCACACGGGGCUCAUGCACGGUGCCUGGGCACUGUGCAUGCAUGGUGUGCAUGCACGGUGCAUGUGCCCAGUGCUCAUGCACGUGCCCAGGCAGUGUGCGUGCACGGUGCAUGUGCACAGUGCUCGUGCAUGGCGUGUGUGCACGGUGCAUGCACACAGUGCUCGUGCACGGUGCACCGGCACUGUGUAUGCAUGGUGUGCAUGCACGGUGCAUGCAUGCAGUGCUCGUGCACGGUGCACCAGCAAUGUGCAUGCACGGUGUGCGUGCAUGGUGCAUGCGUGCAGUGCUCGUGCACAGUGCUCGGGCACUGUGCGUGCAUGGUGUGCGUGCACGGUGCAUGGGCACAGUGUGCAGCGCCUUGCAUGGGCCCGGUGCGCAGGCCCGGUGCCCACCGCAGCGCCCACCAUGCCGCCCCGUGGGUGCCCCGCGCCCCCCCCCAGCCGCAGGGCUCGGGUCCACCUUUCGCCCUUCUUUUUUUUUUUAAUUUCUCCUUUUUCCUCCCUUUCCGUGGAUUUAUCGGUGCUACUUUCCCUUCGGGGUCCCUGCGAUCGGAAGCUAUCGGCGCGCCAGAGCCCCGCACAGCGGCAGCGGCGGCGCCAGCAAAAAAAGCAAAUACCUCAAAAUAACAAAAAAAGAAAAAUCCCACCCCGAAUCCCAUAGGAUAAAAGCAGAGCAUCGCGGCGCCGA
rnacentral:lncRNA from 1 species